rnacentral:rRNA from 1 species
CUUGUAGGCGGUUUGUCGCGUCUGCUGUGAAAAUCCGGGGCUCAACCCCGGACCUGCAGUGGGUACGGGCAGACUAGAGUGUGGUAGGGGAGACUGGAAUUCCUGGUGUAGCGGUGAAAUGCGCAGAUAUCAGGAGGAACACCGAUGGCGAAGGCAGGUCUCUGGGCCACUACUGACGCUGAGAAGCGAAAGCGUGGGGAGCGAACA